GCCGGGUGUGGUGGCACACGCCUGUAAUCCCAGCUACUUGGGGGCUGAGGCAGGAGAAUUGCUUGAGCCCGGGAGGCAGAGGUUGCAGUGAGCUGAGAUCGUGCCACUGCACUCCAGCUUGGCUGUCAAAAAAAAAAAAAAGCUCUGAGAUUUAACUCAUACUUAGGAUGUCACCAGUCAGAGAUUUUUUUUUUUUUUAAGAUGGAGUCUUGCUCUGUGUCGCCCAGGCUGGAGUGCAGUGGCAUGAUCUCAGCUCACUGCCACCUCUGGCUCCUGAAAUCAAGGAAUUAUCCUGCCCU
rnacentral:SRP_RNA from 1 species